AUGAACGAAAUAAUGAGCUUAUAUAGGCUCAGCUACAAUAUUCUAAUUCUCUAAAAGAAGAAACAAAUCGUAACAUUUAAUGAAAAUAUGGCCGUUGGACCAUUGAGUGUAGAAUCGGUCCAAGUAAGGCAAGUAAGGUGUGCCUUGUAUCUUGUCAACUUGGGGAAGAAGUUGUGAAGUCUUGGAAGCUUCUGGAGGGUCUCAAGAUUCUCACACAAGCGCACAAACAAAGAAGGAAAGAG
rnacentral:lncRNA from 1 species